AUACGUAGGUGGCAAGCGUUGCCCGGAAUUAUUGGGCGUAAAGCGCGCGCAGGCGGUCCUUUAAGUCUGAUGUGAAAGCCCACGGCUCAACCGUGGAGGGUCAUUGGAAACUGGGGGACUUGAGUGCAGAAGAGGAAAGUGGAAUUCCAAGUGUAGCGGUGAAAUGCGUAGAGAUUUGGAGGAACACCAGUGGCGAAGGCGACUUUCUGGUCUGUAACUGACGCUGAGGCGCGAAAGCGUGGGGAGCAAACAGGAUUAGAUACCCUGGUAGUCCACGCCGUAAACGAUGAGUGCUAAGUGUUAGGGGGUUUCCGCCCCUUAGUGCUGCAGCUAACGCAUUAAGCACUCCGCCUGGGGAGUACGGUCGCAAGACUGAAACUCAAAUGAAUUGACGGGG
rnacentral:rRNA from 1 species